rnacentral:lncRNA from 1 species
UCAAGAGAAUUUAAUAGGAGAACCUCAUCAGCUGUAAUGAUGCAUCGAAUCUGCUCAAGAUUUACAACAAUUGCCUUCUCCCUGCCAAGGAUUGUUGACGGAUAAACAAACAAUGGAUCUAAUAAACGUAGAUCACGAGCUGGAAGGUCACAACGGCGCAUCAUAGUGAACUUGUCAACCUCAAUGACCUGGGCGGAUAAACAAACAACGGAUCUAAUAAGCGUAGAUCACGAGCUGGAAGGUCACAACGACGCAUCAUAGUGAACUUGUCAACCUCAAUGACCUGGGAGUUGCCAGAUGUAUCAACCCGAAUCCAUGAUCGAAGUCCUUGACCUCGCUUUUUAAGGCCCAAGACAUCUAUACCUUGAAAAGGUUGAC